AGGGAGAGGGCACACUUUCCCUAUCCCCAGAGAUUGAGACCCUGGGGAAAAUAACUCUGAUUCUUUCUCUCUCUCCCUCUUCUCUUUUCCUCCUCGCUUGGUUCUGGUUCGGUUGGCUUUGGUGGCCUUCCUCAGAGGAGGAAGCCUCCCCCCACCAGCUGUGCAGCGCAUUGCUGAGUCUCACCUGCAGUCUAUCAGCAAUUUGAAUGAGAACCAGGCCUCAGAGGAGGAGGAUGAGCUGGGGGAGCUUCGGGAGCUGGGUUAUCCAAGAGAGGAAGAUGAGGAGGAAGAGGAGGAUGAUGAAGAAGAGGAAGAAGAGGACAGCCAGGCUGAAGUCCUGAAGGUCAUCAGGCAGUCUGCUGGGCAAAAGACAACCUGUGGCCAGGGUCUGGAGGGGCCCUGGGAGCGCCCACCCCCUCUGGAUGAGUCCGAGAGAGAUGGAGGCUCUGAGGACCAAGUGGAAGACCCAGCACUAAGUGAGCCUGGGGAGGAACCGCAGCGCCCUUCCCCCUCUGAGCCUGGCACAUAGGCACCCAGCCUGCAUCUCCCAGGAGGAAGUGGAGGGGACAUCGCUGUUCCCCAGAAACCCACUCUAUCCUCACCCUGUUUUGUGCUCUUCCCCUCGCCUGCUAGGGCUGCGGCUUCUGACUUCUAGAAGACUAAGGCUGGUCUGUGUUUGCUUGUUUGCCCACCUUUGGCUGAUGCCCAGAGAACCUGGGCACUUGCUGCCUGAUGCCCACCCCUGCCAGUCAUUCCUCCAUUCACCUAGCGGGAGGUGGGAUGUGAGACAGCCCACAUAGGAAAAUCCAGAAAACCGGGAACAGGGACUUGCCCUUCACAAUUCUACUCCCCAGAUCCUCUCCCCUGGACACAGGAGACCCACAGGGCAGGACCCUAAGAUCUGGGGAAAGGAGGUCCUGAGAACCUUGAGGUACCCUUAGAUCCUUUUCUACCCACUUUCCUAUGGAGGAUUCCAAGUCACCACUUCUCUCACCGGCUUCUACCAGGGUCCAGGACUAAGGCGUUUUUCUCCACAGCCUCAACAUUUUGGGAAUCUUCCCUUAAUCACCCUUGCUCCUCCUGGGUGCCUGGAAGAUGGACUGGCAGAGACCUCUUUGUUGCGUUUUGUGCUUUGAUGCCAGGAAUGCCGCCUAGUUUAUGUCCCCGGUGGGGCACACAGCGGGGGCGCCAGGUUUUCCUUGUCCCCCAGCUGCUCUGCCCCUUUCCCCUUCUUCCCUGACUCCAGGCCUGAACCCCUCCCGUCCUGUAAUAAAUCUUUGUAAAUAA
rnacentral:sRNA from 1 species